UACAGAGGGUGCGAGCGUUAAUCGGAAUUACUGGGCGUAAAGCGUGCGUAGACGGUUAUUUAAGUCGGGUAUGAAAGCCCCGGGCUCAACCUGGGAAUUGCAUUCGAGACUGAAUAGCUAGGGUACGGUAGAGGGAAGUGGAAUUUCCGGUGUAGCGGUGAAAUGCGUAGAUAUCGGAAGGAACAUCAGUGGCGAAAGCGACUUCCUGGACCAGUACCGACGUUCAGGCACGAAAGCGUGGGGAGCAAACAGG
rnacentral:rRNA from 1 species